rnacentral:piRNA from 1 species
UGCGCAACUCAUAUUUAUCAA